UCCUGCUCAGCUGGUAUUAUUUAUAAACUAGAGUCUGUUAGUUGGUGGGAUGCUGUAUCCUUUUUUCUAUAGGAUGGUUGUUAAGAGUGGGAAACAAUCCUUAGAUAGAUGAGCUUGGUUCUUUCUAAUGCGUAAAAGGAUAAUAGAGUCACAAAUAACAGAUAAACAGAAGUAGAACAGCGGUAACUUCGAACUGAAAGGCAGUAAAUCAAUGGGAGUAAUGGCGGGAGGAGAUGCAGUAUUUGGUUAAGGUACUGAAUGAAGUAGAAUUUGCAGAUGAAUCAAGCUGUCUGAAUCCACUCUCUUUCCCUCAUACGCAUGUCAACAUCACCAUAAAGCCCUGGAACAUCUAGAGGAUGCAUCUGUUUGGCAUUUGCUCUCAGCUCCAUUCCCAUCAGCCCCAAAGGCUUCCAGAUGAUUGCUUCCACCAACACCAAGAGCUGGCACAGAAAUAUCAUAGCCGCUACGGCUUUGUUGGCGAUGAAAUUGAAAUCCCUGUGACUGGUCCACCUCGGGAAUAUGUCUAGCCAUGUUAUUUAUUCAUUAGAUGAGGUGGCAGAGGUGCACCUCGCUGAGGUGGUGGGUGGCUUGGUUGCUGUUGCUGUAAUAAAUGAUUUUGGGAAGUGGAUCAAACCAUACCAGGAGCUUGUUUGUGAGAAGGGUGAUGAUUAACUUUCCUAGGAAAUUGAUGAUGUGGUUGCUCGUCCCAUGGACCUUUGAAUCUUCAAGGCAGCAUUUACAGCUGCUAGUUUAUCAACUAUAUCCAGUGACACGUCCCCAGUAAGCAAGCUGUCCUCUUCAGGCAGAUGAAUCCCAGCAGUCCUGUCAGUUCUGCUUUUGGAACCCCCAACCCCAAUAAGUUCAAUCUGUGUUCCCUUUCUCUGAACAUCAAAUCCUGACAGACGGUUUCUCAGUCGUGUUGAACUUGGUUUGCUGCGUGAGGUUGGAUCUUGGACGCUGGCUUUAUUCUCAGUCAUGUUGAAUUUGGUUUUUGUUCCAUCUAGAUGUCAAUCUGCAUGAGGCUCUUGAAUCAGAAAAUUUUAGAACAUCCAGUUCUAUGGAGGUCGAGUCUGUGAAUGAACUCUCACCAAAGGCUGCAAGGGCACAACUAUUGGGUUUGGCUGUAUCACAUCUUCCUGGUUUGGAUUCGGAAGCAGUUAAUACAUUAGUAUGUCCAGCAUUAGAGGAUAGUGGAGGUUUGCUUCAGAAGAAGGCGUUCAAAUACUUUCCAUUAUUCUGAAGCAUAGUGAUGAAUUCCUCUCAGAAAAUAUUGAUGACCUACUUCAGCUACUGCUUGAAGUGUUGCCUUUUUGUCACUUUUCAGCAAUGUCACAGGCUUCGAUGCCUUUAUUUUCUUUUUGUCCACAUUACCAAGAAUGCUUCAGAGCAAAGGAGAAGUGACAUUAUAAGUUCCUUCUUAACUGCAAUUAUACUAGCGGUGGAGGAGUCAAACAAGAAGAUAAGGAAUAUGGCCGAUGACUUAUUAGUGCAAAUUGGUCAUGCAUGUGGUGAUGAAGACCAAGGUGGCAACGAAAAAAAUUUGCAACAACUGUUUAACAUGGUAGCCGGUGGCCUGGCUGGUGAAACACCUCAGAUGAUCAGUGCUACAGUUGGCUCGGUUGGCCUAUGAGUUCUCAGAUCUUGUUUCAUCAGCUUGUAAUGUGCUUCCAUCUUCGUUCUCUUUGUUGCAAAGAAAGAAUAGAUAAAUUAUUAAGGCUAAUUUAGGUCUACUGAAGGUUUUGGUGGCCAGAUCACCAGCUGAGUGGUUGCAAACACACUUGAGAAGUGUGGUUGAAGGGCUGUUGAGAUGGCAGGAUGACUCUAAGAAGCAUUUUAAAGCGAAGGUCAAGCUUCUUCUUGAAAUGCUUGUUAACAAUUGUGGUCUUGAUGCUGUUAAAGCACUUAUGACUGAAGAACACAUCAAACUGCUUAAAAAUAGAUAAAAGGUAGUGAUGCAGC